UCUUAUGGAUAAGCAAAAUAAGUGGUUUCUGGAGAUGGAAGCUACUCCUGAUGAAGAUUCUGUGAA
rnacentral:pre_miRNA from 1 species